rnacentral:rRNA from 1 species
AACGUAGGUACCGAGCGUUAUCCGGAUUUACUGGGCGUAAAGCGCGUUCAGGCGGUUUGGCAAGUCGGGCAUGAAAUCUCUCGGCUCAACCGGGAGAGGUUGUCCGAUACUGCUGGACUGGAGGGCAGUAGAGGGUGGUGGAAUUCCGGGUGUAGUGGUGAAAUGCGUAGAUAUCAGGAGGAACACCUGUGGUGUAGACAGCUUACUGGACCACUUCUGACGCUGAGACACGAAAGCGUGGGUAGCAAACAGG